CCCUCCCUGCCACCCAGGAGGCCAGACUAGAAGACCUAGUGCUCCUUUUUGCCCUCAGUGUCUUAUGCCACCAUCAGCAGAGGAAAAGGAAGUGGAGAUGCAGUGUGGGUGUCUUCAGGGAGGAAAGCUGAUACCAGCUUCAGCAGUUUUCCCAAUCCACUUUGAAGAAACGUCUUUGCAGGGUUCAGGUAUCCAACAAGAGUAGCUGCUGGGACUCUGCUCCUUGUGAGAAUCAUCUACCCAGGAUUUCUGACGCAUUUGCCUUUCUACUUUCCUCUUCUAAACAGGAGAGAGAAACUUAGAGGAGAAUUUGCAGGUGAGCAACCUGGGCAUGGCAUGUGAAAAGGCAGGGCAGGUGCAGGAGAUGGGUGGAGAGAGAUGGUUUGCUCUGCGGGCAUGUGGCAAUGUAAAGGGAAUCCACUACAAGGAGCCGUUAUAAGUCCCUGCCCCACAUCCUCCAGCAGCCGAUAAUCCUGGACUACUCCAAUGGCUUCACCACCCUGCAUGGCUGACCACGUGCCUGUCACUCGAACAGGGAUCAUUUGCUCCCUGAAUGCCUUUCAGCUGGCCUGGCUGGUUCCUGGUGAUCCUGCAGCACUUUCUCCCACCCCCUUCCUGCCCCUACAGUCUUAGACCAGGCUCCUGUGAGCUUGCUUUCUUUCUCAGCUGCAAUACGCUGCCUAUGUGAGGGAACAAGUCAUCCAUCAGGCACACCCUGCUGAUCUGAGUUUCACAACCUGGGAGAGAGAUUUAGUAGCUAAGAAGAGAGUCGAAGAGCUUUGGGUCAACUUGGUCACAGCACAACCCUUCCCCGGUUAAUUGGCAGAUUGAGUGGCUUGAGGAAAAUUGGAAUUGGUAGAGGCAGAUGGAAAUGCAGUUCACUUUGUGGGAGUCAUUUGCAUGUUGCAACCCUUAGUCCGGACGCUAACAUCCUCCUCGAGGGCUACAGGUCACACACAGUUUGCUUCCCACCAGCUGCUCUUCAGAGAAAUUUGCAAGUUAUUGUUUUGUUUUUUUUCAUUUCCCUUUUAAAUUAAAAGGGGAUAGGCGAGAGAGAAUGUUUGAGCAGCUAACAUUUACUAUGUAACACGCCUUCAUCAUUCACAAUCUAUUGAAGCAAGAGCAGCAUCAUCAAAUACACCUGAAUGAUUCUGGGUAUGUGCUCAGGCAGUGCUGAUGUGCUAUAGUGGCAAAAUAGCACCUGCUUGCAAAUUGCACAGACCAUGUAUUUUGUGGCAUUUCCAGAUCAGAUCUGCAUAUUAAAGAUUUUGAGCCUGCCUUUGUUCACUCUGCUAUUGUAAUUGUAUAUCCUUUAAUAGUAAGUCAACUGUAUGUACGACAAUGGCUAUAAACACAUAUUUUUGACAAUCAAAUGCUAUGAAUACAUUUCUUACCGUGUAUUGAAAGCAUCCGUUGUCAGAGUCAUCUGCUAAGAGUCUGAUUUUAAUUAUGUGCUGCUCCUCCCCCAUUGGGUACAUAAGUGGCAACAUUAUAGAAGCGUGGGCUGUUCUAGCGGGUUUGAAAUGUUGCUAUACGAGACAGAAACAGCAGUUUUAAUCACGUUGCAACUAUGCAGAAAAUAUGAUAGUUCAAGGUCAUGAUAAUUUCCAUACGAAUGAACAAGUUGAGUUUACCCCUCAUCAAAUGAUGUCUAUUUUGGUAGAGGUGCCACGGCCUUGUUCAGCGUUUGGAAGUUGGGCGGUUGCCAUUCAGGUAGCUUGAAAACAGCAACCUGCCUGCUUUUUGAUGUGGACAGGAGAAAACAGAGAAGAUUCCUGGAAGAGAGGAAGAGGAAGAUGGCAGGAGAGGAUUCUUAACACUGGAUGAGUUUUACAUUUUGGACAGCUGGGCUCUGCAGGAAAAAACCCAACCAAACGCUAAUGCAUUAUAUCCUCCAUACUUUCACUGAUUUGGCCUCAGCACCUGCAGCAGGCACUCAAAAGUCACUAUAGAUUCAUCCUUUCAGCUGAUUGGCUCCAUUAUAAGCUUUCCUUGAAAUAUGGAGGAAACAGUACGUUUCCAUUGGAUUGGAAAGCAAGACACAAGAAGGUAUGGCCAACUUUGGACUAAACAUUGCAGUGCCAGUGAAUAGUGAGUCCGACAAAGUUAACUUCACAGUUUAUCCCAAGUUCUAAGAGUUAAGACCAGAUGAUAAAUGAAAUGUGUCAAAACUGCUUUAUAUUUUCUGUGAACUACUAUGAAGCUAAGAUUGUUGUUCAUUUUUUUUAAAAUGGAGAGUUGUUUUUGGCAAAAAGAAUGCAAUAAAAUGUUCCUAUUCUGUAGCUUUUUUAAAUACCUGCAUCUUUUUUCUAGGGGAGACAAACAUCAAUUGUGGGGCAACUUAAUUGAAUUGAAAAUGACAUUUCAAUGAAAUAAUGCAUUGCUGCUUCUGCCUGUGUUAGCAAUGCACCAGUAAACAAAAUAAAAU